AUGCUUCAACCCACAGCAACCAUGACUUUGAUCAGCGUCUUCAUCUGCACACUGGCCCUCUGGACUCAAGGAUCCAGAGGUCAGGUGACUGUGACUCAGACUCCUUCAGUGCAAACUGUUGCUCCAGGAAACACAGUCACCAUCAACUGUAAAACCAGUAGCGGAGUGUUUAAUGGUGACCGUCUCGCCUGGUACCUGCAGAAACCUGGAGAAGCUCCUAAACUCCUGAUCUACUGGGCUACUAGCAGACAGUCAGGAAUUAAAGCUCGUUUCAGUGGCAGUGGAUCUAAUACUGACUUCACUCUGACCAUCAGAGGAGUCCAGACUGAAGAUACAGGAGUUUACUACUGUCAGAGUUACCAUGAGAUCAGUCACUGGUUCAGUAGUAGCUAUGUGUUCACACAGUGUUAGAGCGUCGUACAAAAACCUCAGUCAGUGAG